CCUACGGGAGGCAGCAGUGGGGAAUAUUGCGCAAUGGGCGAAAGCCUGACGCAGCGACGCCGCGUGAGGGAUGAAGGUCUUCGGAUCGUAAACCUCUGUCAGCAGGGAAGAACGGUCACUGUGCUAAUCAGCAGUGAAUUGACGGUACCUGCAAAGGAAGCACCGGCUAACUCCGUGCCAGCAGCCGCGGUAAUACGGAGGGUGCGAGCGUUAAUCGGAAUUACUGGGCGUAAAGCGCUCGUAGGCGGUAUGUCAAGUCAAGGGUGAAAUCCCCGCGCUGAACGUGGGAACUGCCUUUGAGACUGGCAGACUGGAGUGUGUGAGAGGAUAGUGGAAUUCCAGGUGUAGGAGUGAAAUCCGUAGAUAUCUGGAGGAACAUCAGUGGCGAAGGCGACUAUCUGGCACAUAACUGACGCUGAGGAGCGAAAGCGUGGGUAGCAAACAGGAUUAGAUACCCCAGUAGUC
rnacentral:rRNA from 1 species